rnacentral:lncRNA from 1 species
GUUGGGGACAACAGGAGGGGCAGUCUCCCAAUGCAAAGCCAGAAAUCCAGAGGUCAUUGUCCAUGUCUAACAAAACUUAAUUUUCUACCUGUUUUCUCCUGAGUUCCUCUAACUCACCCCUCCAUUUCGGAGAUGAAAUGGAGAUUGAUCAGGACUGAAUUUAAGCCUGAUAAGCCAAGAUUUAUGAAAGUUUAACUGAGGUCAAAUGUUGGAGAAAUUCUUGCAGCAAGCAUAUUACUUUUAAAAGCGUAUACUAACUAACCUUUUCCUCAAAAGUUUCAAAAGCAGUACAGAUCCUCAUGGUUUCCCAGUGAUUUUUGGCGGCAGGAUGGUGGUAGGGUAGAUGGGAGAAGAUUUCUUAAUUUGAGUUAAUUCACCUCUCUGAACUUCAAAUUCCUCAUUUGUAAAAUAGCCCAACCUAGUUCCUCGCCAUAAACUCCAGCUCCCCUGCCCUUUGCGUAUUUCCCCAGUACUGGGCCAUCUCAGAGCUCUGUACCUUUGCACACAUUGCUCCUUUUCCCUGGAAUGCAUUUUCCUCCCUGCUAAACUCCUGCCUCUUCCUCAGACUUGACCCCAGGACACCCACAGCACUUUAUUUAUACAAAUAAAAAAUAUCUAGUGGUGAUGGUUUCGUGCCUUUGUGAAAAUACUAAAAAUCACUGAAGUGUAUGUUUUAAAUGGGUAAAUUUUAUGGUAUGUGAGUUUUUAAAAGUUUAGAAAAAUCUUCUCUACUAUAUGGGUGAAUUUCUGGAGAAAUGUCUUUUUUAUCCUUCAAUCAAUAUCAAACCUGGCACAUAAUAGCAACUCAGGUAAUAUUUGUUGAUUAAACAAUGACUGUCUGAGGUUUGCUCUAGGGAUUAAAUUAGGAUGUAUGUGAUGGCACCUAUUUUGCACAAUGCUUGACAUGUAGGAGGAGGAAUUGUUCGCUUUUCUCCCUUUGUUGAAUUCAUUCAUUCAUUCGUGGCAUUACACACUGUUAGGCACUGAAGAUACAGAAAUAGAUAAACAUCUUGCUCUCAAGGAGUUUAUGAUCAGUGGGACAGGCAGAUGUAUAAAUAGAUUAUAGUAUGGCAUCAGGGGUACCACAAAAGACUUGGUGAGCCCAGAGGAGAGACCAUCUCAUUCAGCCUAAGGUCAAGGAGGAGAUCAUCGUGGAAGAACUGAUGUUGGAAAUGGGUUUUGAAAGAUAAGUAGGGAUUUGCUAGGAUAGGAGAAGGAGUGGGAGAGGAGAUGCAUCCCAAGCAGAAGGAAUAGCAUAUGCAAAGGCACAGAG